rnacentral:rRNA from 1 species
GACGAACGCUGGCGGCGUGCUUAACACAUGCAAGUCGAACGGAAAGGCCCUGCUUUUGUGGGGUGCUCGAGUGGCGAACGGGUGAGUAACACGUGAGUAACCUGCCCUUGACUUUGGGAUAACUUCAGGAAACUGGGGCUAAUACCGGAUAGGAGCUCCUGCUGCAUGGUGGGGGUUGGAAAGUUUCGGCGGUUGGGGAUGGACUCGCGGCUUAUCAGCUUGUUGGUGGGGUAGUGGCGUACCAAGGCUUUGACGGGUAGCCGGCCUGAGAGGGUGACCGGCCACAUUGGGACUGAGAUACGGCCCAGACGGCUACGGGAGGCAGCAGUGGGGAAUAGUGCACAAUGGGCGGAAGCCUGAUGCAGCAACGCCGCGUGCGGGAUGACGGCCUUCGGGUUGUAAACCGCUUUCGCCGGUGACGAAGCGUGAGUGACGGUAAUGGGUAAAGAAGCACCGGCUAACUACGUG